UACGUAGGGUGCAAGCGUUUGUCCGGAAUUAUUGGGCGUAAAGAGCUCGUAGGCGGUUUGUCACGUCGGAUGUGAAAACCCGAGGCUUAACCUCGGGCCUGCAUUCGAUACGGGCUGACUAGAGUUCGGUAGGGGAGACUGGAAUUCCUGGAUGUAGCGGUGAAAUGCGCAGAUAUCAGGAGGAACACCGGUGGCGAAGGCGGGUCUCUGGGCCGAUACUGACGCUGGAGGAGCGAAAGCGUGGGGAGCGAACAGGA
rnacentral:rRNA from 1 species